rnacentral:rRNA from 1 species
UACGAAGGGGGGCUAGCGUUGCUCGGAAUCACUGGGCGUAAAGCGCACGUAGGCGGCUUUCUAAGUCAGGGGUGAAAUCCUGGAGCUCAACUCCAGAACUGCCUUUGAUACUGGAGAGCUUGAGUCCGGGAGAGGUGAGUGGAACUGCGAGUGUAGAGGUGAAAUUCGUAGAUAUUCGCAAGAACACCAGUGGCGAAGGCGGCUCAUUGGCCCGGUACUGACGCUGAGGCACGAAAGCGUGGGGAGCAAACAGG